rnacentral:rRNA from 1 species
UACAUGGGGGGCAAGCGUUGUUCGGAAUUACUGGGCAUAAAGGGUGCGUAGGUGGUUUGUUAAGUCAGGGGUGAAAUCCCGCGGCCCAACCGUGGAACUGCCUUUGAUACUGGCGAACUUGAGUGCGUGAGGGGUAGGGGGAACGAGCAGUGUAGCGGUGAAAUGCGUAGAUAUUGCUAGGAAGGCCAGAGCCGAAGGGGCCCUACUGGUGCGCAACUGACACUGAGGCACGAAAGCGUGGGGAGCAAACAGG